UUGGGUGUAAAGUGCACGUAGGCGGAUGUUCAAGUCGGGGGUGAAAUCCCGGGGCUCAACCCCGGAACUGCCUUCGAUACUGGACGUCUGGAGGUCGGGAGAGGCGGGUGGAAUUCCGAGUGUAGAGGUGAAAUUCGUAGAUAUUCGGAGGGAACACCGGUGGCGAAGGCGGCCCGCUGGCCCGAUACUGACGCUGAGGUGCGAAAGCGUGGGGAGCAAAACAGGAUUAGAUACCCUUGUA
rnacentral:rRNA from 1 species